rnacentral:rRNA from 1 species
GAGGAAUAUUGGUCAAUGGGCGCAAGCCUGAACCAGCCAAGUAGCGUGCAGGAAGACGGCCCUAUGGGUUGUAAAUUGCUUUUAUACGAGAAUAAUUUGAUGCACGUGUGCGUUAUUGCAUGUAUCGUAUGAAUAAGGACCGGCUAAUUCCGUGCCAGCAGCCGCGGUAAUACGGAAGGUCCAGGCGUUAUCCGGAUUUAUUGGGUUUAAAGGGAGUGUAGGCGGUUUGUUAAGCGUGUUGUGAAAUUUAGAUGCUCAACAUUUAACUUGCAGCGCGAACUGUCAGACUUGAGUACACGCAACGUAUGCGGAAUUCAUGGUGUAGCGGUGAAAUGCUUAGAUAUCAUGAAGAACUCCGAUUGCGAAGGCAGCAUACGGGAGUGUAACUGACGCUUAAGCUCGAAGGUGCGGGUAUCGAACAGGAUUAGAUACCCUGGUAGUCCGCACAGUAAACGAUGGAUGCCCGCUGUUAGCGCCUGGCGUUAGCGGCUAAGCGAAAGCAUUAAGCAUCCCACCUGGGGAGUACGCCGGCAACGGUG